UCCAGCAGGCGUACACGGCCCCGCACGGGGGGAC
rnacentral:sRNA from 1 species